rnacentral:misc_RNA from 1 species
GAUUUUUGUGACCUCAGACUGAAGUGUGCGCAAUGCCGUAACAGCAACUGGAGGUGCUGAUUCUUUGGCUUCAAAAGCACAACAUGCUUUAGAUAUCUCUUUUAUGGCAUCACUCAUGUAUGGGCAAAGAAUAUUUGAUUCUUCAAGAUCUCGAAAUGUGUUCUGAACCUCAGAUCCAUAAGCUGAUAAAGUACUCUGCAACAUCCCAGCAACUUCAUCAAGAGA